rnacentral:lncRNA from 1 species
AGAUCAUGCAACUGGCCCUGCCCUCUGUGGCUCCAAAGAGGGAAUGGGAAAAGCUGGAACAAUUUGGUGCCUUCCUACUACCAAGAACUGACUCCCAACAGCUCUGGGCAGCCCCAAGAGCUACCAGACCCAGGAAGGAGAGAACAAAGAGGAGAGAGAGAGGACAGUGACUUAAUGUGAAAAUGGGGCCAGGCCUUCCCUAGAAUGGCAGUCCAAUGAGUG